CUAAUCCUGGUCGGACAUCAGGAGGUUAGUGCAAUGGCAUAAGCCAGCUUGACUGCGAGCGUGACGGCGCGAGCAGGUGCGAAAGCAGGUCAUAGUGAUCCGGUGGUUCUGAAUGGAAGGGCCAUCGCUCAACGGAUAAAAGGUACUCCGGGGAUAACAGGCUGAUACCGCCCAAGAGUUCAUAUCGACGGCGGUGUUUGGCACCUCGAUGUCGGCUCAUCACAUCCUGGGGCUGAAGUAGGUCCCAAGGGUAUGGCUGUUCGCCAUUUAAAGUGGUACGCGAGCUGGGUUUAGAACGUCGUGAGACAGUUCGGUCCCUAUCUGCCGUGGGCGCUGGAGAACUGAGGGGGGCUGCUCCUAGUACGAGAGGACCGGAGUGGACGCAUCACUGGUGUUCGGGUUGUCAUGCCAAUGGCACUGCCCGGUAGCUAAAUGCGGAAGAGAUAAGUGCUGAAAGCAUCUAAGCACGAAACUUGCCCCGAGAUGA
rnacentral:rRNA from 1 species